GUGCCAGCAGCCGCGGUAAUACCGGCAGCACGAGUGAUGGCCGAUUUUAUUGGGCCUAAAGCGUCCGUAGCCGGCCAGACAAGUCCGUUGGGAAAUCCACGCGCUCAACGCGUGGGCGUCCGACGGAAACUGCACAGCUUGGGACCGGAAGGCUCGAAGGGUACGUUCGGGGUAGGAGUGAAAUCCCAUAAUCCCGCACGGACCACCGAUGGCGAAAGCACUUCGAGAAAACGGAUCCGACAGUGAGGGACGAAAGCCAGGGUCUCCAACCGGAUUAGAUACCCUUGUAGUCC
rnacentral:rRNA from 1 species